GCAGGGCGUGGUGGUGCGUGCCUGUAGUCUUAACUACUCGGGAUGCUGAGGCAGGCGAAUCACUCGAACCCAGGAGGCGGAGGUUGCAGUGAGCCAAGAUGGCACCACUGCACUCCAGCCUGGGCAAUAGAGUGAGACCCUGUCUCAA
rfam:Homo sapiens chromosome X, GRCh38 reference primary assembly.